GGUUAGUUACCUAUGAACGUGGUGGUGUGGUUAGUUACCUAUGAACAAGGUAGUGGUGGUGUGGUUAGUUACCUAUGAACGUGGUGGUGUGUUUAGUUACCUAUGAACGUGGUGGUGUGUUUAGUUACCUAUGAACAAGGUGGUGGUGGUGUGGUUAGUUAACUAUGAACAAGGUAGUGGUGGUGUGGUUAGUUACCUAUGAAAAAGGUAGUGGUGGUGUGGUUAGUUACCUAUGAAUAAGGUGGUGGUGGUGUGGUUAGUUACCUAUGAACAAGGUGGUGUGGUUAUGUUACCUAUGAAUAAGGUAGUGGUGGUGUGGUUAGUAACCUAUGAACAAGGUAGUGGCGGUGUGGUUAGUUACCUAUGAACAAGGUGGUGGUGGUGUGGUUAGUUACCUAUGAAUAAGGUAGUGGUGGUGUGGUUAGUUACCUCUGAAUAAGGUAGUGGUGGUGUGGUUAGUAACCUAUGAACAAGGUAGUGGCGGUGUGGUUAGUUACCUAUGAACAAGGUGGUGGUGUGGUUAGUUACCUAUGAACAAGGUGGUGUGGUUAGUUACCUAUGAACAAGGUGGUGGUGGUGUGGUUAGUUACUUAUGAACAAGGUGGUGUGGUUAGUUACCUAUGAAUAAGGUGGUGGUGGUGUGGAUAGUUACCUACGAACAAGGCGGUGGCGGUGUGGUUAGUUAGCUAUGAACAAGGUAGUGGUGGUGUGGUUAGUUACCUAUGAAGAAGGUAGUGGUGGUGUGAUUAGUUACCUAUUAACAAGGUGGUGGUGUGGUUUGUUACCUAUGAACAAGGUAGUGGUGGUCUGGUUAGUUACCUAUGAAUAAGGCAGUGGUGGUGUGGAUAGUUACCUACGAACAAGGCAGUGGUGGUGUGGUUAGUUACCUACGAACAAGGUAGUGGUGG
rnacentral:lncRNA from 1 species